rnacentral:rRNA from 1 species
UACGUAGGUUACAAGCGUUGUCCGGAUUUACUGGGCGUAAAGAGCGCGCAGGCGGUCGUUCAAGUCGAGUGUGAAAGCCCCCGGCUCAACUGGGGAGGGUCAUUCGAUACUGAUCGACUCGAAGGCAGGAGAGGGUAGUGGAAUUCCCGGUGUAGUGGUGAAAUGCGUAGAUAUCGGGAGGAACACCAGUGGCGAAGGCGACUACCUGGCCUGUUCUUGACGCUGAGGCGCGAAAGCUAGGGGAGCAAACGGG